GAUGAACGCUGGCGGCGUGCCUAAUACAUGCAAGUCGAGCGAACAGAUGAGGAGCUUGCUCCUCUGACGUUAGCGGCGGACGGGUGAGUAACACGUGGAUAACCUACCUAUCAGACUGGGAUAACUUCGGGAAACCGGAGCUAAUACCGGAUAAUAUAUUGAACCGCAUGGUUCAAUAGUGAAAGACGGUUUUGCUGUCACUUAUAGAUGGAUCCGCGCCGCAUUAGCUAGUUGGUAAGGUAACGGCUUACCAAGGCAACGAUGCGUAGCCGACCUGAGAGAGUGAUAGGCCACACUGGAGCGGGGACACGGUCCAUACUCCUACGGGAGGCAGCAGUAGGGAAUCUUCCGCAAUAGGCGGAAGCCUGACGGAGCAACGCCGCGUGAGUGAUGAAGGUCUUCGGAUCGUAAAGCUCUGUUAUUAGGGAAGAACAAAUGUGUAAGUAACUAUGCACGUCUUGACGGUACCUAAUCAGAAAGCCACGGCUAACUACGUG
rnacentral:rRNA from 1 species